CACGUAGGGUGCGAGCGUUGUCCGGAAUUAUUGGGCGUAAAGAGCUCGUAGGCGGUGUGUCGCGUCGGCCGUGAAAACCUGCAGCUUAACUGUGGGCUUGCGGUCGAUACGGGCAUCACUGGAGUUCGGCAGGGGAGACUGGAAUUCCUGGUGUAGCGGUGAAAUGCGCAGAUAUCAGGAGGAACACCGGUGGCGAAGGCGGGUCUCUGGGCCGAUACUGACGCUGAGAAGCGAAAGCGUGGGGAGCGAACAGG
rnacentral:rRNA from 1 species